rnacentral:lncRNA from 1 species
UCAAAUUCAAAAUUCAAGGAGAAUCUUCGACUAAAGAGAGGUGCAUUUGAAAACUUCUCAGAGUAUCCUUACUGAUAUUACAUACAGAUACAUCAGAAUUGCAGAAGGCAGUAUCAUCGAUGAGGAUGAACAAGUCAAAAUCGGCGAUAUCACCGGUUCGGCACAUCUUUUUAAAUUCAUCCACCUUCAGUUCACCUGCUAUAAUGUGUGAAUAUACUGUCAUCACUGCUACUUAGUCACCACCAGCGCAGCCCCUGCAUCCACAGUGAGCACACUCUAUGACCUGUUCUUCCCUCAGAUGCUUAGGACUACAGACACAUGUGGUUGCAAUGUUGUGAUGUCGUGUCAGGAUGCAGUGCAGGCAGCAGAGACGUUCCAAUGAAAAUUCAACAUCAGUUGGCAGUGCAAGUUAAUAAUAAUCUAAGAACAGGCAAGACCGUGACGCUUUAAUUAUAUAUCAGAAAGGAGGAAUGAGGCGACAUAUAUCAAGUAAAGUGAUGAAGGAAAAUGACAGCUGAUUUGCUUCUACAACAAAUCAACAAUCAUAGACUUGGACUAAGUCGGGCUGUAACUUACAUCAACACAAUAAGCAAAUUCUCCCACUUUACAAUCCAUGUUCAGAGAGAGAUAAUCCAUGACAACCGCAUUAUUUACCAUUGACAUCUCAACAGUACAUGGACUCUGAUGAGACUCCUGGCGGCCAAUGAGUUUGCCAUCCGGGUACUACGACACCGCUCGUCUUUAACUUAGGCAUGAUGCUUCUUCUUCUGCAGUAUUGAGACAAGAAAACUACACAUCUUCAGAGCUGUAGUGUAGGCAGGAGUUUGGAGGAGUGUGCUAUUUAGAAUGAACUACAGAAUGCAGAGUAUUUUGUAGAUAGUUCGUCCUUCAGCACAUCAAAAUCACUCCGGAUACAGUGUUUACCACAACAAAGAUUUGCAGAGUUUGGAGGAGUAUGCUACAUUUUAGAAUGAAUGCAGAAUAUAUUUUGCAGAUAAUUCAUCUUCUCGCACAUUGUUGUACUCGGUAUACAGUGUUUACCAGCUAAUCAUGUGGGCAACUCAAGGCAACUGAGUCGUCAACCGUCACAUAUAUCUACAGCUACCAAAUAAAGAUUCCACUGCUGAAUCCUCCAGCUAAGUAGUACUAGAAGUCACAACAGGGGCAAUAACACUGCAUUGAAAAGGCCGCUGCAGGAAGCCUGAUCUUCCUCUGUCGGCAAGAACAGGUCUUCGUUAUCCCAAGCGAAACUCGCAAGUAUAUUUAUUUAGUUGUUCCUCUCGCAAUCGAAAGUUCAACGAAGAACCCUAGAUUGUCUGCACAAAUACUCACCCAUAGAAAGGAGGACGACUCAAACACCUGUGGCACGGAGAAGAAACCACUAGCGUCACUCACGAAUUCUUGCUGCGCGGCGGAAACAGAUUAAGGCUUAGCGCCGCCCGCCGGUCCUCGUGAGAAAGAAUAUGAGAUGGUCGAUGAAAU